rnacentral:rRNA from 1 species
GGGAAGAGCCCAGCGCUGAAUCCCGCCGUUCUAGCGGACGGCCGGAAAAUGUAGCGUUCGGGAGUGGAUUUAACUCGCGGNNNCGGCGACCAGUCCAAGUUCAUCUUGAAAGGGGCCCCGCUUAUCCGUAGAGGGUGCCAGGCCCGUAGCGACGGUCGCCGGCCGCGAUGGUCCAUCUCCUCAGAGUCGGGUUGCUUGAGAGUGCAGCCCUAAGCUGGUGGUAAACUCC